UGCAUCUGAAGUACAUUACCCAUGAUUAAGAACACCUAGACAUAAAAAAACUCCUACGUCUUUUGUAAUAGCCUCUUCAAUAGUAAGAAGAGUUUCUUUAGCCAAACUUGCUCAAAAAGUUGUCUGGUAAAGGAGUAUACAAUAGUAGUAAGCACAAGUGAGAAAUUCAAAACUAAGAUAUUAUCCAGUCAAUAAGCCAUUUGAGUGCAUCUGAAGCACAUUGACCAUGAUUCAGAAGAACCUAGAACUAAACUAACCACUUUUCUUGGAAAAAAAAAAAGGUCGACAUUGGUCAAUAAAAAAUGAUUGGCAUUAAAACUCUGAUCACAAGCUUAACAUCCUUCCUACCCAGU